AUGAAGAACGACAGAGAGAGAGCUCGGACGGAGGAUUUUGGUCACGUUAACGGUGGCUUCGAUGAAGGUUUUGUUUGGACGAUGAUGAGGAUGAUAUGUUUUGGUGAUGAAGAUGUUUCUUCUGAGGUUCUUUCUAGCAUAGAGGAAGACUUGAAGAAGAAACUUAUGGCAAGGUGUGAGAACAAGAAGCUUGAAUAUGGAGCAAGAAGAUUUGUAUGGAGAUUCAAAAGAAAAUCAGUGGAAAGUUCUCUUAGAAAUCAUAGGAUUAGGCUUGUUAGAUUAAGGAUUCUUCUUGAAAUUUUCUUGUAA